rnacentral:rRNA from 1 species
UUGGGAGCUCACUAGAUUCGGAGUCAUGGGAACUCCGAAGUUAAGCGAGUUUAAGCUGGAGCAAUCUCAGGAUGGGUGACCUACUAGGAAGUUGCUCGUGAGUUCUCAAA